rnacentral:rRNA from 1 species
GACGAACGCUGGCGGCGUGCUUAACACAUGCAAGUCGAACGGAAAGGCCCUGCUUUUGUGGGGUGCUCGAGUGGCGAACGGGUGAGUAACACGUGAGGAACAUGCCCUUGACUGUGGGAUAACUUCAGGAAACUGGGGCUAAUAUCGGAUAGGAGCUCCUGCUGCAUGGUGGGGGUUGGAAAGUUUCGGCGGUUGGGGAUGGACUCGCGGCUUAUCAGCUUGAUGGUGGGGUAGUGGAUUACCACGGCUUUGACGGGUAGGAUGCCUGAGAGGGUGACCGGGCACCUUGGGACUGAGAUACGGCGCAGAAUCCAACGGGACGCAGCAGUGGGGAACCUUGCACAGUGGGCGGACGCCUGAUACAGCAAUGCCGCGUGCGGGAUGCCGUGCUUCGGGUUGUAAACCGCUUUCGCCUGUGCCGAAGCGUGAGUGACGGUACUGGGUCAAGAAGCCCCGGCUAACUACGUG